CCUGCUGUCUCCUAAUUUGAACUCUCAGCUCCUUCUCCAGCACCACAUCUGCCUGCACGCUUUGAUGCUUCCUGUCAGGAAGAUAAUGAACCAACCUUCUGAAACUUUAGGCCAGCCUUUAUUAGAUGUUUUUCUUUAUAACAGUUGCUGUGCUGUGGUCAUGGUGUCUCUUUACAGCAAUAGAAACCUUAAGACACCAACCGUUUGUGCCACCAACACCAGGGGCCCAAAGGAUGGAGUGCCUCAGUCCUGGAACCUUCAGAACCUUGAUUCAAAAUAAACCUUUCCUUUUGCAAGUCAGUUGCCUCAAGUAUUUUAUCAUAGUGAUGGAAAGCUGACUAAGGCAAGAACUCACUGAUCCUUUACUUCUUUUUCUAUUCACACUGCAUUUUCUUUAACCAUGCAUGAGUUGAUUGGGUGUGUGGGUGGUUUUCUCAUUCUGGCUGUGGUCAAUGACAUUGCUAUGAACUUUUGUGUGCCAACACGUCCUCCUAAAUGAUGUAUUUAGUUACUUUAUAUUUUAUGUGCAUGUUUGAGUGCCUGCAUGUAUGUACAUGCACAUUGUGGAUGCCUGGUGUCCACAGAGGCCAGAGCAGCACAUCAGUUCCCUGCACUUGGAGUUAGAGGUGUCUGUAAGCUGUCACAUAGGUACUUGGAACCAAACCUGUGCCUUCUGCAAGAGCAGCAAGUGCUCCUAACCACUGAACCAUCUCUCCAGUUUGACAUGUCGUCAUUUCUCUCUUGUGCAUCUAGGAGUACAGUUAUUAUGCCAUGCACUGCAUGAUUACCAUUCUGAGAAGGUCGAGGUUGCUUGCCAGCCUACCCAUACCACUUUGCAGAUCUAACAGCCAUGUGUAGGGGUUCAGCAUCCUUCAGCAUCCUGCCAAUACUUUCUCCUUCAUGUUCCUUAUAGCUAUUCUUCCACAUAGACAUGGUGCCUUGCUGUGGUUUGACUUGACUUUCUCUCAUGGCUCACUUUGCCGACCACCAUUUUGGUAUUUAUAUAUCUAUAUUCUGUGAAGAAAUGUACAUUAUAGCCACAACAGACUUUCUAGUUAUUGUCUUUUUAUUACUAAGCAGUGCGAAUAUCUUAUUCUCUAUUUUAAAUGUAAAUCCUUUUUCUCCUCGUCUGUGGGUUGCCUUUUAUUUUCUCAACAGCUUUCUAGCCAGACUAGAUGACACAUGCUGUCCUCUCAGCCACCUGGGAAGUUGAGGUAGGAGAAAUUUCAAGUUCAAGGCCAGGAUAGACUACAAGGGGAUGUCAAAGCCAACCUUAGCCCUCUCAUGAGAUCCCAUCUCAAGGAUUCUGUGGGAAUCAGUUGAUGACUUCUGAACGUCCCAUUCCUGGUUAGCUAGGCUGGCCAAAAUGGUGAAGGGCUAUCUCCCUACCCUAAGUCAUCAAAUCGUGAACCAUAACCAGCAGCAGCAAACUCUUCGCAGAAACAUCCGACCCAGUGAAUGGAAGAACAAGGAUUAUAAUCUAGCCAAACAGCUGCUCUUCCAGCAAGUUUUCUGGUCUAUAACCUUGGGAUGUCCUUCCACUCAUGAAAGUCCUCGUCAGUAUCUUUCAACCGGGCUUUGUAUUAUUCUGAAUGUAGUUUUAUACUUAGUAAAAUUUAAGUCUUGUGCUUUUUUGAUAGAGUCCUAAGAGUGCAUUCUUUGGGUUGUAUUGUAAACGGGGAUGCGGGGUAAGUGCGACCUCAGUUGGUUCUUCGUGUAGAAGAAGUGUAGAAAUAGAAUUGAGGGUUUUUUUUUUUUCAGCUUGCUCUGGUAUCAAUUCUGUUAGCUCAUUAGUCACUUCAUAGGAUUCACGACAUACCGUGUUCUUCUUGAAAUAGUGUUACAUCAGCGAUUUUUUGAAGAAAAUUAAAUGUGACCCAAAUUGCCGUGUCUUUUCUCUUAAAAGUUGACAGCUUAUUAUUUUCACAGACUGGAAUAAAACAUGCUUUGUUGAUAGUUUCAUUAUGUUUUAAAGGGAAAAUCACAGAGUAGUAAAAUUUAAGAAGCUCACAUACCUGAACUUAUAGUAUAUACACUACUAAUUAACUUUUGCUAAUUACUGAACAUCCAUUCCUACCUUUUCCUCUUUGAGAAGUUGUAGUUAGUCUGAAAAAAAAUUAGCCACUAUUUCCAGACUAUUCCUCCAGAGGAAAAGGACAUUACACUUGACAGUAACCUCCCAGAACACUAGAUGCCAGAAAUCAUAGGUGAGAGAGCUAUUGGAGACAAGUCUCAGGAAUAAUUAAGGUUAAGUGGCCAAGCUCACAUUUCUGUCAACCCAGAGGAAUGUGAUGUGGGAAUCAAAAAAAAAUAUUCUGAAGAAACAAAAGACAGCUGUGAUGGUUAAUUUUAAUUGUCAAAUUGACAUGAAAAUCACCUGGGAAGAGAAUCUCACUGAGAGACUGUCUAGAUCAGGUUGGCCUGUGAGUACUUCUGUGGGGGGUUGUCUUGAUUGUGUUAAUUGAUAUGAGAAAACCAAGUCUGCUGUGGGUGGCACCAUUCCCUAGGUCCUGAACUCAAAAAGUGGGGAAAGUGAGAUAAGCACUGUACUGGCUAGUUUUGUGUCAACUUGACACAGCUGGGGUUAUCACAGAGAAAGGAGCUUCAGUUGAGGAAAUGCCUCCAUGAGAUCCAACUGUAAGGCAUUUUCUCAAUUAGUGAUCAAGGGAGAAAGGCCCCUUGUGGGUGGGACCAUCUCAGGGCUGGUAGUCUUGGUUCUAUAAGAAAGCAGGCUGAGCAAGCCAGGUGAGGCAAGCCAGUAAAGAACAUCCCUCCAUGGCCUCUGCAUCAGCUCCUGCUCCCUGACCUGCUUGAGUUCCAGUCCUGACUUCCUUGGUGAUGAACAGCAGUAUGGAAGUGUAAGCCGAAUAAACCCUUUCCUCCCCAACUUGCUUCUUGGUCAUGAUGUUUGUGCAGGAAUAGAAACCCUGACUAAGACAAAUUGGUACCAGGAGUGGGGUAUUCCUGUGACAACCUGACCAUGUUUUGGGGAGGACUGUGGAAGGACUUUGGAACUUUGGGCUUGAAGAUCCAUUCGUUGUUAAGAGCUCUGUCGGAUGUUGUGUAGGAGCUUGGAAGAUAAUGUUGAGAACAGUGCAGAAGAUGGAGGCCUGGCUUGUGAAGUUUCAGAGGGAAAAUUAAAGACUCUUUUCAGGGACAUUGCUAUUUUGGAGUUUGAUUAUUCUGUGGUUCUGGUUAGCUGGGACUGAAGAAUCAGUUGUGAUUAACAAGAUACCAGAACUACUAAAGCAAAACCUUUGCAUUACUGGGACUAUUGAUGCUGGUUAGCUGGAGCUAAGAAAUUAGCGGUGAUUAAGAAGAGACCAGCAUCAUUGAGGUGACAUCUUCUGGAAGUGUUUUCUGAAAGCACAAAGAGGCUGUGUUCCAGAGAUGGCCAAGGUUGUACUCCUGCUGCAGUGGGACUUGGUAAUAUGUAAGGGUCACCCAGGUGGUACUGGUUUUGAAGGCAUGAAGGGGUCACGCAAAGCAGCUGAGGCUUGGCACUGUGAGAGGCCAUGGAAGGCCAUUGGUAAAGGUGCAGCCUCAGUUGCAAUUGAAGGCCCAGGACUGAAGGGGUCAUGCAGUGUUUUAGAGAUGCCAGUACCAUGAGAUGACCACCAAGAGCAGCAGCAGCAGUGGAGUACAGGCAUCUGGAGCCUAGAGGAUGACUCGUGUGCUACAAAGGGCCUGGCUGGAGAAGUGACCCAAGCCCUUGGAGGAGCCCAGAAGAUCGUGAGUUGGAUCCCAGACAUUGGACGGUUGGAGAUUGACUUUUGCUUUUGAUUGUGACUGUGCCCUGAUAUUUUCCCUCUUGAAGGAAGAAACUGUUUUAGUGGAGCCCACAGUUAAGAGACUUUUAAUUGUAAAAAGACUUUGAAUUUUAAAAGAGAUGGAUAUUUUAAAGAGAUUGAAAUUUUAAGAAUAUGUAAAGACUGUGGGACUUUUAAAGUUAUUUAGAAUGGGGAUGAAUAAGAUUGUAAGGGUUGAGGCUUACUAGUGAUGUGUUUGUGUGUCAAGUUGACAAGGGGUCACUUGUACUGGCUAGUUUUGUGUCAACUUGACACAGCUGGGGUUAUCACAGAGAAAGGAGCUUCAGUUGAGGAAAUGCCUCCAUGAGAUCCAACUGUAAGGCAUUUUCUCAAUUAGUGAUCAAGGGAGAAAGGCCCCUUGUGGGUGGGACCAUCUCAGGGCUGGUAGUCUUGGUUCUAUAAGAAAGCAGGCUGAGCAAGCCAGGUGAGGCAAGCCAGUAAAGAACAUCCCUCCAUGGCCUCUGCAUCAGCUCCUGCUCCCUGACCUGCUUGAGUUCCAGUCCUGACUUCCUUGGUGAUGAACAGCAGUAUGGAAGUGUAAGCCGAAUAAACCCUUUCCUCCCCAACUUGCUUCUUGGUCAUGAUGUUUGUGCAGGAAUAGAAACCCUGACUAAGACAAGCACUAAACAAGCAUUCAUUCCUCUCUGCUCCCAACUAUAAAUGUGAUGUGACCAGCUGUUUAAUGUUCCUGCAAUUUUGACUUCCCUGUUAUAAUGGACUAUAACUUGGAAUUGUAAGCUCAGAUAGACCAUUUAUCUCCUAAGUGGUUUUUGGUCAGAGUACUUUACACAGCAAUAGAAAUGAAAGCAGGGCACCAGCAAAGCAGUGAUAUCAUCUGCAUAUUUGGACCACAUUGGGUGUAUGUGCACUUGUAUGUAUGUGUCUGGGGCUGUAAAUCAUGCUAGUUACUAUGUACUAAUAUGCCACGAACAUGCCCUCAUUGUCUGAGUCUUAAAAUAAAAUUUAAUACUAUA